GAUUAACGCUGGCGGCGUGCUUAACACAUGCAAGUCGAACGGUAAGGCCCUUCGGGGUACACGAGUGGCGAACGGGUGAGUAACACGUGGGUGAUCUGCCCUGCACUUCGGGAUAAGCCUGGGAAACUGGGUCUAAUACCGGAUAGGACCACUGCCUGCAUGGGUGGUGGUGGAAAGCUUUUGCGGUGUGGGAUGGGCCCGCGGCCUAUCAGCUUGUUGGUGGGGUGAUGGCCUACCAAGGCGACGACGGGUCGCCGGCCUGAGAGGGUGACCGGCCACACUGGGACUGAGAUACGGCCCAGACUCCUACGGGAGGCAGCGGUGGGGAAUAUUGCACAAUGGGCGCAAGCCUGAUGCAGCGACGCCGCGUGAGGGAUGACGGCCUUCGGGUUGUAAACCUCUUUCAGCACCGACGAAGCGCAAGUGACGGUAGGUGCAGAAGAAGGACCGGCCAACUACGUGCCAGCAGCCGCCGUAA
rnacentral:rRNA from 1 species